rnacentral:misc_RNA from 1 species
ACUCUUCAACUCUAUCGUUUCUUGUUAAGCGAUUAGAAGUUUGGAUUUUGAAUGUUGCUAGUCCUUUUACGGGACUUUAGCUCGUUCGUAAUACAUUAGCCUUUCUAAUUCCGAACUUCGGAUUGACUCAGUGUAAUAGACUAUUCGCUGAGGACACUAGUAAUAGUGGCCGAUAUUCAACAUAAGAAAAGCUUCAAACCUUUGUAGUCAAUUUUAG